rnacentral:rRNA from 1 species
AUUGAACGCUGGCGGUAUGCUUAACACAUGCAAGUCGAACGGUAGCAGGCCUUCGGGCGCUGACGAGUGGCGGACGGGUGAGUAAUGCAUAGGAAUCUGCCUAUUAGUGGGGGACAACGUGGGGAAACUCACGCUAAUACCGCAUACGCCCUACGGGGGAAAGCUUGGGGACCUUCGGGCCUGGCGCUAAUAGAUGAGCCUAUGUCGGAUUAGCUAGUUGGUGGGGUAAAGGCCUACCAAGGCGACGAUCCGUAGCUGGUCUGAGAGGAUGAUCAGCCACACUGGGACUGAGACACGGCCCAGACUCCUACGGGAGGCAGCAGUGGGGAAUAUUGGACAAUGGGCGAAAGCCUGAUCCAGCANUACCGGCGUGUNUUGAAGAAGGCCUUGAGGGGUUGUAAAGCACUUUCAAUAGGAAGGAAUACCUAUCGGUUAAUACCCGGUAGACUGACAUUACCUAUACAAGAAGCACCGGCUAACUCCGUGCCCAGCAGCCGCGGUAAUACGGAGGGUGCANGCGUUAAUCGGAAUUACUGGGCGUAAAGCGUGCGUAGGCGGUUGUUUAAGUCAGAUGUGAAAGCCCUGGGCUUAACCUGGGAACUGCAUUUGAUACUGGGCAACUAGAGUUUAGUAGAGGGGAGUGGAAUUUCAGGUGUAGCGGUGAAAUGCGUAGAGAUCUGAAGGAACACCAGUGGCGAAGGCGGCUCCCUGGACUAAAACUGACGCUGAGGUACGAAAGCGUGGGUAGCAAACAGGAUUAGAUACCCUGGUAGUCCACGCCGUAAACGAUGUCAACUAACUGUUGGGUUCUUAAAGAACUUAGUAGUGGAGCUAACGUAUUAAGUUGACCGCCUGGGGAGUACGNCCGCAAGGCUAAAACUCAAAUGAAUUGACGGGGGCCCGCACAAGCGGUGGAGCAUGUGGUUUAAUUCGAUGCAACGCGAAGAACCUUACCUACCCUUGACAUCCAGAGAAUCUGUUAGAGAUAGCGGAGUGCCUUCGGGAACUCUGAGACAGGUGCUGCAUGGCUGUCGUCAGCUCGUGUUGUGAAAUGUUGGGUUAAGUCCCGUAACGAGCGCAACCCUUAUCCUUAGUUGCCAGCGGGUCAUGCCGGGAACUCUAGGGAGACUGCCGGUGAUAAACCGGAGGAAGGUGGGGACGACGUCAAGUCAUCAUGGCCCUUAUGGGUAGGGCUACACACGUGCUACAAUGGCCGGUACAGAGGGCUGCGAACUCGCGAGAGUAAGCGAAUCNCAAAAAGCCGGUCCCAGUCCGGAUCGCAGUCUGCAACUCGACUGCGUGAAGUCGGAAUCGCUAGUAAUCGCGGAUCAGAAUGCCGCGG